GGGGAGGCUGCUGCUGCAGAGGCUGCUGCACCGCUCGUGACUGUCAGUCCUCCUUGUAGCUCAUUGGUUAAGCUGUGGCUCGAGCCUGUUAACAGUUAACGGACAGGAAACGGCUCUGACAGGACACAUUCAUGUCGAGGCAGUGAUGUGAAUGUGUGACGGAAGAGAGAGAACAAAGGCUGAACCUUAACUUCCAAUGCCCCGCCCCCUCCACGCCACUCCGCCAACCACCAGGAUGCCCGGCAUCAGAACAUCCCAGGCAUUCCUGUGAUUGGCAGAUAGCAGGUUGAUUGGCAUGUCGGACCCCGCGAACACUGGGAACUGGUAAG